rnacentral:lncRNA from 1 species
GAAGAUGACCAUGCACAGGUGUGUGUUCUCACUCCAUGUUCAUGGUCACUUAUGAUUUUAUACCGACAGCUCUGCAAAUGUGGAAUGGGCCAUGAUGGAGGCCUGUUUCCAGAUACUUGACCCAGCUGUGUAUGGAAGCCUGAGAUCUUCUGAACAUGAAGCAAAAGGUCAAAGGAGAAAUUCAAGACUGCUGUAAUUAGACAUCUCUAAGAAUUUCCAAGGACGCCAGAGCAAACAGAGGACCUUGCACUUAAUGCAUGAGGAUGUGACGGUGUCCUAGUGAAAUUCUGCACCUGGCUCUCAUGAGUAAGUAUCUACACAGUACUACAACCAUGACUUCUACCUCCUGCAGAGUCCCUACCAGCUUUAGGACUGGCUGCUUAUGGGUGCUCUCCUUU